rnacentral:lncRNA from 12 species
GGGCGGAAAGCGCACGGGGAGGGGCCCGAAGAUGCCGGAGGAGUCGCGGCUUGGAGGCAGCGCGCGCGCUGUGUGGGGUCUUCAGCUCCUUCCUCUUUUGUUGGGAAUGAGGGGCGCUUGGCAGCUUGGGUCUUCAUUCUCAGCUGUGGGUUACCACUCUGUGGUCAUCAAUGCCUGGUCACCGAUGGGCAAUUGAAAGUGGCUGCAAUGUUACCCCUUGGUCCCGGAGGAUGCCACCAUCAUCGCUGACCUCACCGGAGACAGGCAGUUUACCUACACUAAGCACAGUGGUUGAGGUCUUGCCUUUGAGAGAAUACAGCAUCCGCAUGAAAUACUUAAUGACAACCAUACACAACUGUGAGCUAUUUGGUAAGUGAUAAAUUAUGCCUCUGGCUGAGUCUGCCCAUCCUGAGUGUGCCAACACUUUCUGCUUCUGCUGCCCUAACUCUGUUGCACAAGCCAUACGUCUCCAACAAGUGGCCCAACCAGGAAAGCCUAAAAGAAAUCAGAAUGCUCCAGUAAGAAAUCAGAGUAAGAGACAGACACUUCAUGUUUUUAUUUAUUUUAUUUAUUUUUAAAAUAUUUUAUUUAUUUAAUCAUGAGAGACACAGAGAAAGGCAGAGACGUAGACAGAGGGAGAAACAGG